GAUGAACGCUGGCGGCGUGCCUAAUACAUGCAAGUCGAGCGAACAGACGAGGAGCUUGCUCCUCUGACGUUAGCGGCGGACGGGUGAGUAACACGUGGAUAACCUCCCUAUCAGACUGGGAUAACUUCGGGAAACCGGAGCUAAUACCGGAUAAUAUAUUGAACCGCAUGGUUCAAUAGUGAAAGACGGUUUUGCUGUCACUUAUAGAUGGAUCCGCGCCGCAUUAGCUAGUUGGUAAGGUAACGGCUUACCAAGGCAACGAUGCGUAGCCGACCUGAGAGGGUGAUCGGCCACACUGGAACUGAGACACGGUCCAGACUCCUACGGGAGGCAGCAGUAGGGAAUCUUCCGCAAUGGGCGAAAGCCUGACGGAGCAACGCCGCGUGAGUGAUGAAGGUCUUCGGAUCGUAAAACUCUGUUAUUAGGGAAGAACAAAUGUGUAAGUAACUAUGCACGUCUUGACGGUACCUAAUCAGAAAGCCACGGCUAACUACGUG
rnacentral:rRNA from 1 species